GGGCCACAGCUCAGUGGUAGAGCACCUGCUUGGCAUGCAGAAGGUUGUGGGUUCAAUCCCCAGCAUCUCCA